CAGGUAUGAUCUAAUAUUUAUAUUUGUCGACAGAAAACAUGACUUUAGAACAUAUAAAAAAAACAAAAUGCAACAAAUUGUCAUUAAGAUUGUCUGAACUCAACAUACGGAGAAUAUUAUCACUGUUCAAUACACUUUUAGAAAAUGGAUAAUCAAAGCAAUGUCAGAAGGUCCAAAGUACACGAGAGAGACUCAAAACCGAUUUCUGUAAGGGAUGAUACAUGCUAUCAGAGGAAUGCUAAAGAAGAACCGGUGACAAGAGUAAAGAGAAGAAACCACAAACACAUGUAUUCCUACAAAUUUGGACGCUUCAAGGCACACUAACAAGUUCACAUUAAGUGAAUAUUGUCAUAACAUACAAUGUAGGCGUGUUUGGACAGUUCAAAGUUAUAAAACGAAGAAAAGGGUAUAGAUGAUACAGUAUUGUCUAUUAUAGCCUCUGAAGUUCUUAAAGUGGUUAAACAAGUUGACUUUCUUACGCUGCAUCACAACAUGGGCAACGUCUAGUAAAUGGAAACUACAGAGGAUAUGAUAUAUUUGACACAGACAGCUGAUCAUACGCAGUUUCAUAUUCUAAAAUAUUUACAAAGUCAAUAUCCUUACAUUCUUCUUAUUAAUACAGGCGCUAUUAAAUAGGACUGUACAUAUGUUUUCAAUGAAAACGUUCUGCUUCCCUUCUAGUGAAAAAAAAUCCAAGAAAUCAAAAAAAAAAACAAAAAAAAAAAUAAAAAAAUAAAUAAAUAAAUAAAAAAAUAAACACAAUAAAAUUUUACAAAUGUAGAAAAUAUCAAUGUAUGUUAAUAAUUUAUUUAGUAUAUUUAAUUGUGUGCAGUAAAAUCGUAUUUAAACUUUUUAACAAAACUAAAGUUUUGUCAGCGUCAUAAACUAUUGAGUUGUCAUCAUUACAUAAAUUUCUAUUCUGAAUACACAACAUUAAUAUAUAAGUAUAUAAAAUUAUUUUUGAGAGGCAUUAAUACAGAAUUUUUGAAUUCAUUCCUUGUGGAGACACAAAAAUUCUGUAUUAAUGCCUCUCAAAAAUAUCUGUUAUAUACGUUUAUAUUAAUCUUGUGUAUAUUUCAUAAUCAGUUUUUACUGGUGCCUUCCCUAAACCAUUGCACUUAUACUACAUUUUUCACCAGUAUUUAUGUAUCAUACUAUGAUCCUGUUUAUGAUUUUUCCGCUAAACUCUUUGUUAAAUUUUGACUUCGUCGUCAUUGACGUCGUUUGACGUUGACGUCACUUCCUAUGUUAUGUUUGUUUUGAACCCUGAAGAAGACUAAUGUAGCCAAAACGUUGAUGAAAUAUAAAAUAAAGUGACUUGUUAAAAAGAGUU